GAUGAACGCUGGCGGUCUGCUUAACACAUGCAAGUCGAACGGAAUCCUUAGGGAUUUAGUGGCGGACGGGUGAGUAACACGUAAGAACCUGCCUCUUGGACGGGGACAACAGUUGGAAACGGCUGCUAAUCCCGGAUAAGCCGAAAGGUAAAAGAUUUAUCGCCAAGAGAGGGGCUUGCGUCUGAUUAGCUAGUUGGUAGGGUAAGAGCCUACCAAGGCGACGAUCAGUAGCUGGUCUGAGAGGAUGAUCAGCCACACUGGGACUGAGACACGGCCCAGACUCCUACGGGAGGCAGCAGUGGGGAAUUUUCCGCAAUGGGCGAAAGCCUGACGGAGCAAGACCGCGUGGGGGAGGAAGGUUCUUGGAUUGUCAACCCCUUUUCUCAGGGAAGAAGAAAGUGACGGUACCUGAGGAAUCAGCAUCGGCUAACUCCGUGCCAGCAGCCGCGGUAAUACGGAGGAUGCAAGCGUUAUCCGGAAUGAUUGGGCGUAAAGAGUCCGUAGGUGGCUGAUCAAGUCUGCUGUUAAAGAGCGAGGCUUAACUUCGUCAAAGCAGUGGAAACUGAAGAGCUAGAGUGUAGUAGGGGCAGAGGGAAUUCCUGGUGUAGCGGUGAAAUGCGUAGAGAUCAGGAAGAACACCGGUGGCGAAAGCGCUCUGCUGGGCUACAACUGACACUGAGGGACGAAAGCUAGGGGAGCGAAUGGGAUUAGAUACCCCAGUAGUCCUAGCGGUAAACGAUGGAAACUAGGUGUGGCCUGUAUCGACCCGGGCCGUGCCGGAGCUAACGCGUUAAGUUUCCCGCCUGGGGAGUACGCACGCAAGUGUGAAACUCAAAGGAAUUGACGGGGGCCCGCACAAGCGGUGGAGUAUGUGGUUUAAUUCGAUGCAACGCGAAGAACCUUACCAGGACUUGACAUUUCGGGAAUCCCUUUGAAAGGAGGGAUGCCGAAAGGAGCCCGAAAACAGGUGCUGCAUGGCUGUCGUCAGCUCGUGUCGUGAGAUGUUGGGUUAAGUCCCGCAACGAGCGCAACCCUCGUCGUUAGUUGCCAUCAUUAAGUUGGGAACUCUAGCGAGACUGCCGGUGACAAACCGGAGGAAGGUGAGGAUGACGUCAAGUCAGCAUGGCCCUUACGUCCUGGGCGACACACGUACUACAAUGCUAAGGACAGAGAGCAGCCAACCCGCGAGGGUGAGCGAACCUCUUAAACCUUGGCACAGUUCAGAUUGCUCUCUGCAACUCGAGAGCAUGAAGGAGGAAUCGCUAGUAAUCGCAGGUCAGCAUACUGCGGUGAAUCCGUUCCCGGGCCUUGUACACACCGCCCGUCACACCAUGGAAGUGAGCCACGCCCGAAGUCAUUACUCUAACCGAAAGGAGGAGGGUGCCGAAGGCAGGGCUGAUGACUGGGGUGAAGUCGUAACAAGGUAGCCGUACCGGAAGGUGUGGCUGGAUCACCUCCUUU
rnacentral:rRNA from 1 species